GUCGCUAUAGCUCAGUGGUAGAGCAUCUCAAGUAGUAGUCGAGAGGUCCCUGGUUCGAUUCCGGUUGCGACG